rnacentral:rRNA from 1 species
CCUACGGGGGGCUGCAGUGGGGAAUAUUGGACAAUGGGCGAAAGCCUGAUCCAGCAAUGCCGCGUGAGUGAUGAAGGCCUUAGGGUUGUAAAGCUCUUUUACCAGGGAUGAUAAUGACAGUACCUGGAGAAUAAGCUCCGGCUAACUCCGUGCCAGCAGCCGCGGUAAUACGGAGGGAGCUAGCGUUGUUCGGAAUUACUGGGCGUAAAGCGCGCGUAGGCGGUUUUUUAAGUCAGAGGUGAAAGCCCAGUGCUCAACACUGGAACUGCCUUUGA